CUGAGGAGCUGGGUCUUUAUCUGAGUCCGUUGCGGAGCCACCGUUUUAAGCGGACAUCUGAUAGGAUCUGCUGAGUUCAUUCAUCCAUAACCCAGUCAGGGCCAACCUCCAGGGCGCAGGGUACUGUGUUUAAGGCAACCACAGAACAGAAAAACAAGGCCCCUUCUUCAUGGGCUCUGAAUGCUGGGUGAGAAGAGAUGAGUAACAAGAGACUGACUGGGUAGAUACUUUGGGGGGGGGGCGGCGUGGGCGGCACUUUCACUGCCUAUUAAAACAAUGGAACUGGAGGGGGGUCACGGGGAGGGGUUGCUGCUUUAGAAACAGAGGUGGAGAGGCCUCAGCUGAGGUCUGAGUCAGAACAAGGAACCAAAAUCUGCACAAACAGCAGAAGUGGCUGAGGAAACAACUCCUGCAAAACCCAAGGGUGGAGUGAAGCUGCUGGGCUGGGGGCAGAGCCAGCAGGGGUGGACAGAGAGAGGUGGUUUGAGCGACGAGGUUGCUGAGGCUGCAGGCUGUGGGGCUAGGGAGUUACGGUCAUAGACCCAGGGACGCCUCAUGUCUCCUUUCCUUCUUUAAAUCAAGUCUGACCCUGAGUUCCGUGGCAACCAACGUCAGCCUGAGAGGCUGUCACCUGCCCUGUGUCUC
rnacentral:lncRNA from 1 species